GGGUCGGUGGCGUAGUGGUUAUCGCAGACGAUUGCAGAUCGUAAGGUGCCCAGUUCGAUUCUGGGUCGACCCU
rfam:Trichophyton benhamiae CBS 112371 contig01989.5, whole genome shotgun sequence.